rnacentral:rRNA from 1 species
GACGAACCGUACGAACGUUAUUCGGAAUCACUGGGCUUAAAGGGUGCGUAGGCUGCGCAGCAAGUUGGGUGUGAAAUCCCUCGGCUUAACCGAGGAACUGCGCCCAAAACUGCUGUGCUCGAGGGAGAUAGAGGUGAGCGGAACUUAGGGUGGAGCGGUGAAAUGCGUUGAUAUCCUAAGGAACACCGGUGGCGAAAGCGGCUCACUCGGAUCUCUUCUGACGCUGAGGCACGAAAGCUAGGGUAGCGAACGGGG